rnacentral:rRNA from 1 species
UACGUAGGGGGCAAGCGUUGUCCGGAAUCAUUGGGCGUAAAGCGCGUGUAGGCGGCCAGAAAAGUCCGCUGUGAAAACUCGAGGCUCAACUUCGAGCUGUCGGUGGAAACUUUCUGGCUAGAGUCCUGAAGAGGAGAAUGGAAUUCCUGGUGUAGCGGUGAAAUGCGCAGAUAUCAGGAAGAACACCCGUGGCGAAGGCGGCUCUCUGGGACGGUACUGACGCUGAGACGCGAAAGCGUGGGGAGCGAACAGG